rnacentral:rRNA from 1 species
GACGAACGCUGGCGGCGUGCUUAACACAUGCAAGUCGAGCGGAAAGGCCCUUUCGGGGGUACUCGAGCGGCGAACGGGUGAGUAACACGUGAGUAAUCUGCCCCUGGCUUUGGGAUAGCCACCGGAAACGGUGAUUAAUACCGGAUACGACCACUUCUCGCAUGGGAUGGUGGUGGAAAGUUUUUCGGCCAGGGAUGUGCUCGCGGCCUAUCAGCUUGAUGGUGAGGUAAUGGCUCACCAUGGCUUCGACGGGUAGCCGGCCUGAGAGGGUGACCGGUCACACUGGGACUGGGACACGGCCCAGACUCCUACGGGAGGCAGCAGUGGGGAAUAUUGGACAAUGGGCGGAAGCCUGAUCCAGCAGCGCCGCGUGAGGGAUGACGGCCUUCGGGUUGUAAACCUCUUUCAGCAGGGACGAAGCGCAAGUGACGGUACCUGCAGAAGAAGCACCGGCCAACUACGUGCCAGCAGCCGCCGUAA